rnacentral:rRNA from 1 species
GGCGGCGUGCUUAACACAUGCAAGUCGAACGAUGAAGCCCUUCGGGGUGGAUUAGUGGCGAACGGGUGAGUAACACGUGGGCAAUCUGCCCUGCACUCUGGGACAAGCCCUGGAAACGGGGUCUAAUACCGGAUACGAGCCUCCCGGGCAUCUGGGAGGUUGGAAAGCUCCGGCGGUGCAGGAUGAGCCCGCGGCCUAUCAGCUUGUUGGUGAGGUAACGGCUCACCAAGGCGACGACGGGUAGCCGGCCUGAGAGGGCGACCGGCCACACUGGGACUGAGACACGGCCCAGACUCCUACGGGAGGCAGCAGUGGGGAAUAUUGCACAAUGGGCGAAAGCCUGAUGCAGCGACGCCGCGUGAGGGAUGACGGCCUUCGGGUUGUAAACCUCUUUCAGCAGGGAAGAAGCGAAAGUGACGGGUACCUCCGAGAAGAAGCCCCGCCUAACUACGUGCCACCAGCCGCGGGUAAUACGUUAGGGCGCCAAGCGUUGCUCCGGAAUAUACUUGGGCGUUAAAGAGUCUUCGAUAGCCAGCGCAUUGUUCAGCGUUCGAGUUGUGAAAGCCACGGGGCUUAACCUCCGGUUCUCCAGUCGAUACGGCCAGGCUAGAGCUGUGUUAGGGGAGAUCGGAAUUCCUGGUGUACCGGUGAAAUGCGCAGAUAUCAGGAGGAACACCGGUGGCGAAGCCGGAUCUCUGGCCCAGUUACUGACGUCUGAGGAGCAGAAAGCGUGGGGAGCGAACAGGAUUAGAUACCCUCCGCAGCUAACGCAUUAAGUGCCCCGCCUGGGGAGUACGGCCGCAAGGCUAAAACUCAAAGGAAUUGACCGGGGCCCGCACAAGCGGCGGAGCAUGUGGCUUAAUUCGACGCAACGCGAAGAACCUUACGUAGUCCACGCCGUAAACGGUGAUUCGACGCAACGCGAAGAACUUACCAAGGUCUGACAUACACGGAAACAUCCAGAGAUGGGUGCCCCCUUGUGGUCGGUGUACAGGUGGUGCAUGGCUGUCGUCAGCUCGUGUCGUGAGAUGUUGGGUUAAGUCCCGCAACGAGCGCAACCCUUGUCCCGUGUUGCCAGCAGGCCCUUGUGGUGCUGGGGACUCACGGGAGACCGCCGGGGUCAACUCGGAGGAAGGUGGGGACGACGUCAAGUCAUCAUGCCCCUUAUGUCUUGGGCUGCACACGUGCUACAAUGGCCGGUACAAUGAGCUGCGAUACCGUGAGGUGGAGCGAAUCUCAAAAAGCCGGUCUCAGUUCGGAUUGGGGUCUGCAACUCGACCCCAUGAAGUCGGAGUCGCUAGUAAUCGCAGAUCAGCAUUGCUGCGGUGAAUACGUUCCCGGGCCUUGUACACACCGCCCGUCACGUCACGAAAGUCGGUAACACCCGAAGCCGGUGGCCCAACCCCUCGGGGAGGGAGCUGUCGAAGGUGGGACUGGCGAUUGGGACGAAGUCGUAACAAGGUAGCCGUACCGGAAGGUGCGGCUGGAUCACCUCCUU